UCCAGCAUGCGUUUUGUGAAUUUAAAACAAUGUUUCCAUCUUCCAUACAAGCUUCAUCGUUUCCCGUGGCACGAGGCAGCAGGUUUGCAGUGCGCGAGGGCAUACAGAGACGCGCCACGCGCAAUUUCUCUGACCAACAUCCAAUAUAAGAGGAAUAGACCGCUCGAUCCGGUCGGUUAACGUUAGAGCUUAUCGCUAUUCACUUGGGAAUCGAAUCUUCGUAUUGCGCGUUUAAAGAUGGCCUAUUUUCCGGCCAUCAAAAGGACAGUGAAGAAGAGAUGAUGGAGUUGAACAAGGGUUUAGAGAGAAUGAUUGAAGACGUAGAACAACUACCAGCUGGCAUGGAUGGCCAAUGACAUGAAGAUGCAGUGGACCAGUCCUACGGAGGCUUCAGGAAGAGUUCCUCCGCUGCAGGGCUGUCAUCUGUGGCUUCCCUGGGGAACAGGAGCCGAACCGGAGACAGGGACUGGGAAAGGACCAGGGGAUGGGGAAGUGGAUGGAGUGACCUAGACCAGGGGAUGGAUGCCACCACCUCCCCACUUCACCAGGAAUGUCUGCUGUUCUGAAAUGGACCAUAAUCCAAAUCUAGUAGCCCGUGCUCUGUAUGCUUGUCUACAACGUUGUAUGUACAGUAGGCUACAGUCUCAUAUCUGCAGCUGCAGUCUCUUUCUCUCUGACAGAAGAGGAAACCACUGGAGAUAGGUGAUAGAGAUAGAUGUCCCCUGUCCCAUACUGCAUGCUGUCUAAGUUGAGCAGCAGGCUGUUGUAUGGUGCUGUUGUAUACAGAUUGUGGUUGUGUGUUAAGUACCUGUUAUAGAAUGUGUAUGAUACGUCUCUGGACAGGGUGUUCAAGGCACUAUAGUGUUGUUGUGAUUGUUAUUCAUUUGUGGUUUGCCUGUUUGUCAAAUCUUUUAUUAAAA